rnacentral:rRNA from 1 species
UACGGGAGGCAGCAGUGGGGAAUAUUGCACAAUGGGCGAAAGCCUGAUGCAGCGACGCCGCGUGAGGGAUGGAGGCCUUCGGGUUGUAAACCUCUUUCGCUCAUGGUCAAGCCGCGACUUUGGUUGUGGUGAGGGUAGUGGGUAAAGAAGCGCCGGCUAACUACGUGCCAGCAGCCGCGGUAAU